AAAAGAAAAAAAAAGGCUGCGAGAGCCUGGUGGACUGGGCCUCACAUAAACCAGGCAGGAGAGAUGUUUCCAAGAUGGGAUCAUUUCACACCACAACUCAUAUACUGAAACCCUAAUUAAUAUUGAAAAGUCUGUGCUCUGCCAUGCCCUCAAAUCCAUGGAAUUUGGGUAAGGAAACCGAACUAUCCAAAGUGUUUCUCCCACACGUACACAGAGCUAAUGCUUCCACCACACCUCUCCUUUUGUAAAAACACAACUGUUGCAACAGU